GACUUGUGCUCUUCCGGUAAGAAGUUCAGAAUGCACUACCACAAGAAAGUCAUGUUAUGGAUGGAGUCGAGCUCCACAUUCAAGCUCAAAGACCAAAAGUUUUGCAAGGGCAUCAAGCAUCCGACGAAGGGAAAGAUUUUUGAGACUUGUCCUACCUACCCAUUACAUAAAGUCAAUAAAAGUGAAAGAAAAAGAAAGAGAGGUAGAAAUGUCAACAUUGAGAGAAAGCGGGAUGCCAUGGGAAGAAAUCCAGUUGGGACAAAGAGUAAAGAGAAAUGUGGGGAUGUGUUCAAGACAACGCAGGAGAAUGACGGGGUGCCGUGUGGGUUAAUGGCAAAACCUUUUUCCAUGUAUCUUUUAUCUGUUGAUUUCCCCCACAGCUACCAUUAUGCUUGUUAUUAGCGAUAAAUGUUCCGUUAAAUGCAUAGUCGUAUGAACGUCGCCAUAAAACAUCAAAGGUCCGGUGAUUGAUUAUGUGCCAUACUUAAUGACAUGGCUUGAUUCUUGUUUUUUUCGAAAUGAAAUGUUUGGUUUUUAAAAUAGUGUGAUGUGUGAACCUGGCCUGUGUCUGUGGAGAUACGCCCAAGGUUUUUUUCUUGUAGACAUAACAUCUUCCUUUUGUUCUUGGGAAUAUCUAUUCACUGGUAGCUAGUUGACAUCCAGGGGAAGAUCACAAGUGCAGGACUGCAGAAUGCAAACCAAGAGAGCAGCCUGCCUCUCUUAGAUAUGUCUUACAGAUCAAAUAACUGAAAAUAAAAUCAGAGAAGCCAAUUUAAUGUUCCCGGUUUUGACACAGUACAUUUCUUGGUCAAAAUAAAAUCCUAUCUCCUUGAGCUAGAGCUCCCCAAAGUAUAAGCCAUUGCCCGAGAAUAAAUGACUCUGGUUUGGAAAUGCCACCGAUAUGCUCAGACCUUUGAGAUAUAAUUUAGUUCAGGGCAACAGUAAUAUAUCAUCAUUAACGAUAAUGAAAGUAAAUCGCCCACCUUGUUUGCUGUGUACUGGCUAGGUGGUGGGGUCAAAAGCAUGGUCCUUGCCCUUGAAAACUUUGUCAUCCACUUAGGGAGAUAGUAAAUGGCCAUUCAGAAUAAAACCAAACAGGAAACAUAGCCUUCAUAUUAGUCAGGGUAGGCUAAGCUCCUCUGUGAACUUCCCUUAAAGCCAAAGAAUGCUUGGGGAGCCUGGGUGGCUGAGUCCGCUGAGCCUAAGACUUUGGCUCACGUCAUGGUCUCCCAGUUCAUGAGCUUGAGCCCCACAUCGGCCUCUGCUUGGUAUUCUCUCCCUCCCUCUAUCUCUGCCCCUCCCCUGCUUGCAUACGUGCGCGCUGUCUCUUUAAA